UGAGAGGCAUCUCUUGAAUAUCAAAGGUGAGCCAGUACAGGAUGGACCCGCGUCUGAUUAGCUAGUUGGUAAGGUAACGGCUUACCAAGGCGACGAUCAGUAGCCGACCUGAGAGGGUGAUCGGCCACAUUGGAACUGAGACACGGUCCAAACUCCUACGGGAGGCAGCAGUGGGGAAUAUUGCACAAUGGGCGAAAGCCUGAUGCAGCAACGCCGCGUGAGUGAUGAAGGCCUUCGGGUCGUAAAACUCUGUCCUCAAGGAAGAUAAUGACGGUACUUGAGGAGGAAGCCCCGGCUAACUACGUGCCAG
rnacentral:rRNA from 1 species